AUGCCGUGCCGCCCGGGCGUCCAGCAGCUCGGCGCGUCCACGUCGUCCCGAGGAACGGAGGCGACGCCGCGGAAGUAUCGUGGCGUGAGGCGGCGGCCGUGGGGUAAAUGGGCGGCUGAGAUCCGUGACCCGCAGAAGGCGGCGCGGGUGUGGCUUGGCACGUUCGCCACCGCCGAGGACGCGGCGCGCGCGUACGACGCCGCCGCGCUCCGCUUCCGCGGGAGCCGCGCCAAGCUCAACUUCCCCGAGGACGCCGCGGCCGCCACCGCGCGCCGCGCCAGGGACGCCGCGACGGCCGCGGCGGCGGCGUCCUCGAAGCCGGCUGCGCUGCUGGAGUCGCAGGACGGCGACGUCAUGGACUACCUGGACUACUCCAAGAUCCUCGCGGAGCCGGAGCCGAGCAACGUGAUGGGUCGGCUCCUUGGCGGCGACGGGAACGGACGGUUCCUGGGGUCGUGGAGCAUCGGGACGUCGCCGGCGUCGUCUGCGUCGAGCGCGUCGCUCGCCGGGGCCGGACCCGCCUCCGUUGCUCUGUUUCCGUGCGGCAGCGGCUUGAAGCAGAGCAGUGAGAGUUCGUCGCAUAGGGGUUACUAG
rnacentral:rRNA from 1 species